ACGGCCAUACCAUGCUGAAUAUACCAGUUCUCGUUAGAUCACCGAAGUCAAGCAUCAUUGAGCGCGGUCAGUACAUGGGUGGUUGACCACCUGGGAACACCGCGC
rnacentral:rRNA from 1 species